AUUUAUAGCCCUCGGAAAAAAGGCUCCCUACAUUAUGUCCUACAUGUGAAUGAUGUGAUGUACAUGUACAAUAGAAAGUUGUACUGCACAAUCUUUUGUCAAUUUACAUGCAUUGCUUUACUUAGUUAUUAUUGAAUGAUUUUGUCUCUAGUGUACACGAAUACUCGUCAAUACUCACCCAACUCUCAUCUCACAUUGACUACCUCUCGGCUUCAACAAGAUUCAUUUUACAGCACACUUCCACCAAUCCUCCUUCUCCACUGUCCAUGAUAACAGAAACAUGUGAAAGGGAUCAGGUCACUGCCCAAGUACAAGCACUAGUAUCUGCAUCUAAAGACUUAAGUAAUGAAGUAAAAAAGAUUGAAAAGACAGUUUAUAAAGGUCUUGGCAAAAACAUGCCAGGAAGCCAUCCUUGUUCUCGUAUUGCCUCUAGAGCUAUUAAGUGGACAUUAUUUGGCUCCUCACUUGCAUUUGUCUGUUAUUGUUUGUUUAGACAUUAUAAGUGAUGUGACCUCAUGUAUUCAUAAACAUUUCAUUGAUUCAUUAUAUAAAUUUGAAAUUGCAUAACAAAUGAAA